UUCCAUCGCUGCCCUUAAAAGAAACCUAAUCGACAUUCCUCUGAAUCAAACCGAAGAUUGAAUGCUACGCAAAUGAAACGGUGAAACGGUGGGAAGCAAUCAAUCAUGAUUUGAGAUAUAAACUUGCAGAUACAAGAUACAGGGAGUCAGGGACGGAUCAUUUUCUCUUUCCCUUCCAAACCUCUGGAUCCCGUCUUCCGAAUUCCACAUCUGCAACCACAAAAGGGCUCUUUAAAGUCACCGUUUCACCCUUUCACUAACCCUAAAUCCUCUUCGUUUGGUCGUCAUAAGGUGCUGUCCAAGAUCAAAUUAAAGAUAAGGCAAGGUCUUAGGUCAGGCUUCAAAUAGGGAAAUCGAUUAUCAUCAGAUCAGGUUAACAACAAACGCUAUCACAGAUUCAAUCUCUUUAUUCUGCAGUUGCUUGGAUACGAACAGGUGAAGCAGUUCGAUUUCUGCUCAGAUGGAACGAUUUAAUUUUGGAUGUGGCUGAUUAAAGUUGAAUCAUCAUUAUAUAUAAAUGGUUUGCAAAACGUCUCUAUGGUGAUUCUCAUUACUUUGCUUUGCUCAUUAUUUGCAUUGUGUUUAGUACUUUAGUUGCAAAACUUCGUGAAUUGAAUUUGAGACUGAAGUGGAGAUGUGGCGUUUGGAAGGAAGGAAUGGAGGAUCCUUGGAUAGCAGAUGGUGAAUUUAGCAUUCGGGUCUCAAUCGGGAAGAGUUGGACAUUGGAUAAGUGCUUGUAAACGUUCAGACUUGAAAACCGACGGUGAACAAAAUCAUUUAAAUCACAAAUGAUCAAGAACACUGCACAGAUUCAGGUUUCAUGUGUCUGGAAAACCAAGAUAAGCCGCUGUUCUUGAAAGAACUUAGUCAUAUAUGGGAGAAAAAGUACCAGAAUCUUCCGUGGAGUGAUGGAGAAUAUUCGGCUUCCAACACGCCGUUGGUCACCUAUCCUGAGAAGGCCCUUCUAAAUCCUGUAUGACGUCAUAUAUGAAUGUAUAUCUCAAAUGGGUCGCCAAAACAUUUAGGUUAAGAACUGGUGGGUAAAAUGGGUUGAACGGGAUAUAACUUAUGGCUCCUAACUUAUAAGUGUUGAAAAUCAUCAAUGAGUGUUUUUAAAAUCAUUCAGCAUCUAAUGUAUUUAAGGGUAGUUAGGUCAUUUUAAGAAAGCGAGAGUAAGGAUGAAACCCGUAAAAGAUUUUUAAAAAAUGUAUUACUAUUAGGUUGAAAAGUGAUAAUCAUGUUAGGUAAGUCUGAUGCGUACCAAGUAUAUGAUGGAAUGCCUUAAUGACGCCACUGCCUAUGGUGCUGGUUCCGCCUCUUGCUGCUCGAACCAGGAUGUGAUGCUGGGAAGCACCAACAAGCUUUCAACCUCACUGGAGGAUUCGCUCUGUCGAAGUGCUUUGAUGACGAUAGUCCUAUAAUGGCAUGGGUAUUCCACGACCCAAACUAAAUGAUGUUGCAAAGGGACCUGGAGACAAAAGAAGCCUGGUAAACGCAUGUCAAAAUGAUAUGUGCCAUGUUCUAAAAGCCAUGCACAUAACGUUCCCAUUUGCCAACGGCUGUUAUUUUUCUUUUGCAUGAUUAGAUAGUGCCAUAGUCGGUUAGUGGUGAUGGUUUUCUUAGUUGCAAGUUAGCCAUUUUUGUUAAUUUCGUAUUGCUUCUGUAAGGCUAUAUAUGAGCCAUAUGUAUUUAGA